GUGGUUGCCUCGACAGCACAUAUGCUAAAAUUGGAACGAUACAGUGAAGGAUACAACAUUGCUGCUGCGCAGGGAUGAUACGCAAGUUCGUGAAGGGUUCCAUAAUUUG